UCACCGGCAUCUGCGUUAAAGCUUGGCAGAAAUAAAACCCCGGCACCGGACAUGACGAAGAGG
rnacentral:ncRNA from 1 species